CACUUUCUCUGUCAGGACUCUGUCUUUGUUCACCAGUGGUCCCUUUUUUCCCUGUGACGGAGCAUGUUGUCAUUUUUUCUAAGGUGGAAAUGGAGUCCAUCACAGUUCUGAGUAACAUAAGUGUAUGGAAUUGAAACGACAUAAGGGUUGAUGAUGACAAGGUGAUGACACAAAGGAGCUUCCAUUGCCUUUAUUGCAACUAGGACUGACAAUAAUGUCUGCAAACCCUUCUCCAAAUAUUAAGUCUUAUUCUAUUACAACAUUGCCACCUGCCAGC